AACGAACGCUGGCGGCAUGCCUAACACAUGCAAGUCGAACGAGACCUUCGGGUCUAGUGGCGCACGGGUGCGUAACGCGUGGGAACCUGCCCUUAGGUUCGGAAUAACUCCCCGAAAGGGGUGCUAAUACCGGAUAAUGUCUUCGGACCAAAGAUUUAUCGCCUUUGGAUGGGCCCGCGUUGGAUUAGCUAGUUGGUAGGGUAAAAGCCUACCAAGGCGACGAUCCAUAGCUGGUCUGAGAGGAUGAUCAGCCACACUGGGACUGAGACACGGCCCAGACUCCUACGGGAGGCAGCAGUAGGGAAUAUUGGACAAUGGGCGAAAGCCUGAUCCAGCAAUGCCGCGUGAGUGAUGAAGGCCUCAGGGUUGUAAAGCUCUUUUACCCGGGAUGAUAAUGACAGUACCGGGAGAAUAAGCUCCGGCUAACUCCGUG
rnacentral:rRNA from 1 species